rnacentral:rRNA from 1 species
GAUGAACGCUGGCGGCGUGCCUAAUACAUGCAAGUCGAGCGAACAGACGAGGAGCUUGCUCCUCUGACGUUAGCGGCGGACGGGUGAGUAACACGUGGAUAACCUACCUAUAAGACUGGGAUAACUUCGGGAAACCGGAGCUAAUACCGGAUAAUAUAUUUAACCGCAUGGUUCAAUAGUGAAAGACGGUUUUGCUGUCACUUAUAGAUGGAUCCGCGCCGCAUUAGCUAGUUGGUAAGGUAACGGCUUACCAAGGCAACGAUGCGUAGCCGACCUGAGAGGGUGUACGGCCACACUGGAACUGAGACACGGUCCAGACUCCUACGGGAGGCAGAAGUAGGGAAUCUUCCGCAAUGGGCGAAAGCUUGACGGAGCAACGCCGCGUGAGUGAUGAAGGUCUUCGGAUCGUAAAACUCUGUUAUUAGGGAAGAACAAAUGUGUAAGUAACUAUGCACGGCUUGACGGUACCUAAUCAGAAAGCCACGGCUAACUACGUG